rnacentral:rRNA from 1 species
CCUACGGGAGGCAGCAGUGAGGAAUAUUGGUCAAUGGGCGAGAGCCUGAACCAGCCAAGUCGCGUGAGGGAAGACGGUCCUAUGGAUUGUAAACCUCUUUUGCCGGGGAGCAAAAAGCGGUACGCGUACCGCAUCGCAAGUACCCGGAGAAAAAGCAUCGGCUAACUCCGUGCCAGCAGCCGCGGUAAUACGGAGGAUGCGAGCGUUAUCCGGAUUCAUUGGGCUUAAAGGGAGCGUAGGCGGGCGUUCAAGUCAGCUGGAAAAUCGCGCGGCUCAACCGCGCCCCGCAGUUGAAACUGGACGCCUUGAGUGCACAACAGGCAGGCGGAAUUCGUGGUGUAGCGGUGAAAUGCAUAGAUAUCACGAGGAACCCCGAUUGCGAAGGCAGCCUGCCGGGGUGCGACUGACGCUGAGGCUCGAAGGUGCGGGUAUCAAACAGGAUUAGAUACCCCUGUAGUC